rnacentral:rRNA from 1 species
UACGUAGGGUGCAAGCGUUGUCCGGAAUUAUUGGGCGUAAAGAGCUCGUAGGCGGUUUGUCGCGUCUGCUGUGAAAACCCGAGGCUCAACCUCGGGCCUGCAGUGGGUACGGGCAGACUAGAGUGCGGUAGGGGAGAUUGGAAUUCCUGGUGUAGCGGUGGAAUGCGCAGAUAUCAGGAGGAACACCAAUUGCGAAGGCAGCUCGCUGGGACGAUACUGACGCUGAGGCGCGAAAGCGUGGGGAGCAAACAGG